rnacentral:rRNA from 1 species
UACGUAGGUGGCGAGCGUUGUCCGGAUUUACUGGGCGUAAAGGGCGUGCAGGCGGUUUGUUAAGUGCAGGGUGAAAGCUCCCGGCUCAACUGGGAGAGGUCCUUGCAUACUGGCGAACUCGAGGGAGGCAGAGGAAAGUGGAAUUCCCGGUGUAGUGGUGAUAUGCGUAGAUAUCGGGAGGAACACCAGUGGCGAAGGCGACUUCCUGGCCUGUUCUUGACGCUGAGGCGCGAAAGCUAGGGUAGCAAACGGG